GCUUAAGAAGUAAGAAAUUAAUUAUUGUAAUGAAAUGAUAUCCAGAUUUUUCAAUCUUUAUGCUUUCCCAGUUUGAGUGAAAUUGAGGCUCUUCCCCCAAUUAAUGGAAGUAUUUGAAGAGGAAGAUAAACCUCCAUCUGCUAAUAUUGAGUUGAUUGUUUCAGUCCUGCAGCUUAUGAUUUCAUAUUCCCAUGCCUUGUUGCCAUGUCUACUUCUAUCCUUUUGUUGAUAAGUUUUUUUGCUGAAGUUUUAUAUGGACAAUUCGUUCAUCUAUUUACCAAAAUUAUAUAGUUCAAAAGUGCACAAAAUUUCUUUUGAUGCAGGGGUUGACAAAUUUGAAAACAUUACGCUUGAAGUCUCUGCCUGACAUGAGUUGUAUAUGGAAGGGUCUCGUGCUGAGCAAAUUGACUACUUUGGAGGUAACCUAUCUGGAUAAAAAUUAGACAAGUUUGUCCACUAAAACAACUUUGCACGUAAUAAAAAAUGUUUUUUAUACAAAAGUACAUCAAAUAACUUCACAAAAAAAUUAUUAACAUAUAAGAGCAUAAAUUUUGUGUUGAAAAUUAUUAUUACAAUAUCUUUAAAAAUUUAUUAACUUUAUAACUAAAAUAAAAAUAUUAGUUACUAUUUUUAUUUUUAUUUUUUACAUGAAACUAAUUAUUAGGAGUUGUAGUAACCUUUUUUCGCAAAAAUCUAAUUAUUAUUUAACUUAUCUCUAAUUAAGAAAAAAACUGAAACAAUAAUAUGUAAUCUCUAAAAAGUAUGUAAUCCUGUUUUUUCUUCUUUUUUUCCCAUCAUAUAAAUUGUUUUCAUGAGUGAAAAAAUAUAAUAUUGUUCUCUGAUCAGAUGGCCGUCCAUGGGCAGCAAAACGACUUCUUACAAAGAUUAAAAUAUGUAGAAGUGGACGAUUGUGGGGAUGUUCGCGCUCCGUUUCCAGCAAAAUUGCUGCGAGCUUUGAAAAUUCUAAGCAGUGUGCAAAUUGAGGACUGCAAAUCAUUGGAAGAGGUAUUUGAAUUGGGUGAGCCUUAUGAAGGAAGCAGUGAGGAGAAGGAGCUGCCGCUUCCAUCAUCUUUAACCUGGUUACGGCUGUACCAGUUACCUGAGCUCAAAUGCAUAUGGAAAGGGCCUACCAGCCAUGUCAGCCUCCAAAGUCUUGCUUAUCUGUAUUUGAAUUCUCUGGACAAACUGACAUUUAUCUUUACACCGUCCCUCGUUCAGAGUCUACCACAGCUAGAAAGCCUUCACAUAAAUAAAUGCGGUGAAUUGAAGCAUAUUAUCAGAGAAGAGGAUGGUGAAAGGGAAAUAAUUCCAGAGCCUCCUUGCUUCCCAAAAUUAAAAACUAUCAGCAUAAAAGAGUGUGGUAAACUGGAAUAUGUCUUCCCUGUAUCUGUGUCUCCAAGCCUUCUGAACCUGGAAGAGAUGCAGAUUUUUGAAGCUCAUAAUUUAAAGCAAAUAUUUUACAGUGGAGAAGGAGAUGCACUCACCAGAGAUGCCAUCAUCAAGUUCCCUAAGCUAAGAAGAUUGUCUCUUUCAAAUUGCAGCUUCUUUGCUACAAAGAAUUUUGCUGCCCAAUUGCCUUCCUUGCAAAUUCUAGAAAUUGAUGGCCACAAAGAAUUGGGAAAUUUGUUUGCACAGCUCCAAGUACGUCCUUUAUAUUUCUCCAAUAAUUUUUUUCCUUUUUAAUCUAAAUUGUCAACUUCAAUACAUGUUGAUUUCUUCCUUUAAAUUUCUGAAACUGAAGUAAUUGAUAAGUGGAGAUGAAUCCUUUAGCCAUCCACUAAAUUGAAAAGGAGUUGUCUAAUUGUAUCAUUCCUUGUCUCUUGAUAGAGGGCUUGAGAAGUAAGAAAUUAAUUAUUGUAAUGAAAUCCUACCUAGAUUUUUCAAUCUUUAUAUAUGCUUUCCCAGUUUGAGUGAAAUUGAGGCUCUUCCCCCAAUUAAUGGAAGUAUUUGAAGAGGAAGAUAAACCUCCAUCUGCUAAUAUUGAGUUGAUUGUUUCAGUCCUGCAGCUUAUGAUUUCAUAUUCCCAUGCCUACUUCUAUCCUUUUGUUGAUAAGUUUUUUUGCUGAAGUUUAUAUGGACAAUUCGUUCAUCUAUUUACCAAAAUUAUAUAGUUCAAAAGUGCACAAAAUUUCUUUUGAAGCAGGGG
rnacentral:lncRNA from 1 species